GACAGAGGUGCCGAGCGUUAGGCGGAAUCAUUGGGCUUAAGGCGUGUGUAGGCGGGCGAUCAAGUACCUUGUGAAAUCCCACGGCUCAACCGUGGAACCGCUGGGUAUACUGGUUGUCUUGAGCCGGCUAGGGGCGAGCGGAACAGACGGUGGAGCGGUGAAAUGCGUAGAUAUCGUCUGGAACGCCGAAGGUGAAAACAGCUCGCUGGGGCCGCGCUGACGCUGAGACACGAAAGCCAGGGGAGCGAACGGG
rnacentral:rRNA from 1 species